UCUGUAAAAUGGGAUAAUACAGUAUCUCAUAAGCCCAGUUCUAGGAUAAAUUAGGUAAUACACUGAUGCAGGAGGAUUGCUUGAGGCCAGGAGUUUGAGACCAGCCUGGGCAAUUCAGCGAGAUUCCAUCUCUACAAAACCAAAACAAGGCCGGGCACAGUGGCUCACACCAGUAAUCCCAGCACUUUGGGAGGCUCAGGAGGGAGGAUCUCCUGAGGUCAGGAGUUCAAGACCACCCUGGCCAACAUGGCAAAACCCCGUCUCUACUAAAAUUACAAAAAAUUGACUGGGCAUGGUGGCAGCUGCCUGUAAUCCCAGCUAGUCAGGAGGCUGAGGCAGGAGAAUCGCUUGAACCCAGGAGGCGGAGGUUGCGGUGAGCCGAGAUCACGCCACUGCACUUCAGCCUGGGCGACAAGAGCGAAACUCCGUCUCAAAAAAAAAAAAUGUGGACAUUCCCCAAUAAAGCCUGUUCCUUAUAGCCAUACUUCAUGACUUCGUGACAUUUAUUUAGCUAACGUCACCUGCAUUUUCCCCUUUGGUCCCCAGUACGGGACAAAUUCUGUUCAUUCUAGUUAAGGCUUCUGGAAUGACCCAGCCCAGGGUGGGAGAUCACUCCUUGGGUGCAGGGGCAGGUCACCCGGCUGAGUGUGACUGUGGUACCUACAUCACAGAUCACAGGAGCCCUUGGUAUUGGUUUCCAUAGGAAUGGGAGACUGAGGGAGAUAAGACUGCCUAGGAUUCAAUCCCAUAGCUUUUCCUCAGGAAUCUAUAGUUCUUUUAAGAGGUAAGGGUUAAAAAGGAUGGGAGAAAGCCUCAAAACUACACUUCCAUCCCAUCCUACCCCCAAUAGAAGUCCACAGUAUCUUAUUUUAGGAUUCUUAUAUCAUAUCCUCUAUAAGUAAACUUGGCCUGUGGUUUCAUGUCUUUAUUUAAAAUGUUGAUAUUUUGUUCAUUAUGGAUCCUUUUGCACUAACUUUGAGUUUUUACAACACUUCAUUUAAAUGGUAUUUAUUCUGAUUACUUCACUCUAGUCUCUACACUUCCUGAAAUUCUCAAUUAGGCCAAGUCCUCUUUACGAAUUGGAGCAGCUUUCCAUCCCCUUUCUGAGGAGGUGAGUCUCUCCUGACCUGGAGAGACCACAAUGGCCUCCCCAGAGAGGGGUGAUGAUCCCCGUAAGCAGUAUCCCCACCUCCUUUCACCAUUUCUAGCCCUAUGACCAGACUCAAGCCAGAACUCAGACUGACCCAUCUGGUGAGUAUGUCCUGGUUGUUUAAAGUGGGCAUCAUGCUAAUUGGACUGGCUUCUGUAGCCAGUCCUUGUCUGUUGUUAAAUACGUUGGCUCUUACCCAAACAUGUCUAAUCAGUGUCAUAAUAGUAUGUCAAAGUGAUCAGCAUUUUUCUUUAAAAAGUCUAUUUGAUGUCAUUGAUAUGUUGAAUUCUCCUACAAGAAUUGUGUUUCUGUCUAUUGCUAAUUUGAUUUGUAGAAGUUUUGUCUCUAGAUAGAUAGAUAGAUUUUUUUUCACAAUUCAGCUUAUAAAGUUUAGAUGAAGACAUUCACAUUUUCAUUACCCAUUUUUUUAAAUUGGAAAUUACCUAUAAAACUGUCUGGACUGGAUGAUUGUAGAAAACUUGAAAUAUAGAGAAAUAAACAAAGAAAACCAUAAAAAUUCCCUAUAAUCCCUCAACCAGCGACAGGUCUUAUUAACAUUUUGGUUGUAUAUUUUAUGAAAACUAAGAUUACAAAGAAUACAAUACUUUGUAUCAGCUAUUUUCCUUAUCCAUCACACUGGAGAAUCAAAAGAAUUAUCAGCUAUCUGAAGGUGGCAAAUUGCUUAAGAGACACAUAAGCAUAUUAUCUGAGCUUUGGAGGUAAUCACCAGGAGAACCAAAAACAGAAAGGGUCAGGGAUGGUGGCCUUUGGGAAUGGGUGUUCUGGAGUGAGAUUGAAGGGACAGUUUAUUUCUUAUUUUGCACCCUUCUGUUGAAUUUUGAAUUUUAAUGUGUUUAUAUAUUUCUUCUUAAAUGAUAAAACAUUUAUAAUAGAUUUAAAAAAUAUAUACAUGUUUGAAUAUUAAUAAAAGAGGUACAGGAAAAUAUGGAGAAAAGAUGGGUAUGAAGAUACUGGACUUCAGCAUUCUACAUAUUUACAUUCAUAUGUAAAAUAUGUACAUACCACUUUAGAACACAUGUCAGGAGCCAAGCUAUGGACAUAAAUGCUUCUUUCAUUUUAUUCACUAAUUUGUUUAUUUUAUUUUUAGUAACAGUAAUACAUAUAAUUGUAGAAAAUGUAAAGUAUAGAGAAGUAUCUGUAAUAAUCCUAUAUAGCCACAUCUAAAGUCAGAUUCUAUUAACAUUUUAUUGUGUAUUUUAUCAAUACUAAGAUAACAAAGUACAUAAUAUUUUGCAUCGUCUUUUUUCACUUAGUAAAUACAUUAGAAACAUUUUUUGCAAUGUUCUUAAUUAUUUUUUUGCAUUGCCACUAGUAAAUGCUUUCACAAUAAUCUGUAUGCUAUAACUGACUUAAAAAACUUCUUG
rnacentral:lncRNA from 1 species